AUGUAACCAUUCGCGUGAGGGAUAAAGGCGGUAUCCUUUUAUGAAGCGGAGCGGAAUAAAAGAUAUAGCCGAAAGCCCGACCCGGA
rnacentral:sRNA from 2 species